CUUUUGGAAAUGCUUGGAAUGCAAGUGUCAACAAUACUAGAAGAUAUUAUGAAAGUAAAAUCUUGUGACCAUGGUGAAACUUCCUAUGGUAGAAAAUGUAUUUUUUUUUCUUUUUUUUUUUUUUCCUAUUUUCUUUUUCAAUAUUCUCUUGCAGAUCAUCACGUUAGAAGUGGUCCUGUAUCCUGACCAGGAGGAACUAAUUGUUAACUGCACAGAACAAAACAACUGUUCCAUUGCAACAGUUCUAAUUAGAAGUGAUCAGCAAGAAGCUGUGAGAAGAUAUUGAAAAGGAAUCCAAGUGGGGGAAGAGAGAAAUAACUUCUCUACUACAACACGCCCAU
rnacentral:lncRNA from 1 species